GGGCGAUUAGCGCAGUGGCUAGCGCAUCUCCCUUACACGGAGGUGGUCGCAGGUUCGAAUCCUGCAUCGCCCACCA
rnacentral:tRNA from 1 species